CACCACAACAGGUGGAGCCUGCGGUUUAAUCGGACUCAACGCCGGGAAGCUCACCAGAUAAGACAGCUGAAUGAUAGUCGGGCUGAAGACUCUACUUGACUAGCUGAGAGGAGGUGCAUGGCCGUCGUCAGUUCGUACUGUGAAGCAUCCUGUUAAGUCAGGCAACGAGCGAGACCCACGCCAACAGUUGCCAGCUCGUCCUCCGGGAUGGUGGGGACACUGUUGGGACCGCCUCUGCUAAAGAGGAGGAAGGAAUGGGCAACGGUAGGUCAGCAUGCCCCGAAUUAUCUGGGCUACACGCGGGCUACAAUGGGUGGGACAAUGGGUAUCGACACCGAAAGGUGAAGGCAAUCUCCUAAACCCAUCCGUAGUUCGGAUUGUGGGCUGCAACUCGCCCACAUGAAGCUGGAAUCUGUAGUAAUCGUGUCUCAAAAUGGCACGGUGAAUAUGUCCCUGCUCCUU
rnacentral:rRNA from 1 species